CAGAUCCAGAUGAUCCACUGAAGACUACUGAUCAGACCAGGCGUCUUGGCUUAAUCGUGUGUAGGGGAACUGUCGUGAUGCUUGUAUCACCUACUGAUGGAACUGAUGAGAUUGCGAAUCCUUUCAUCCAGCCAAAUGGGGCUUAAAUCUCUGGACUUAUUAUGUAGCUGCCUUCUUAACAUUUGGUUUUUUCUCAUUUAAGAUAUUCUAGAGUUUGAAUUUAGUUUCUGUUUUGUCUACUUGAAUGUCAUUGUCUAUUAAUGUGAAAUAGUAGCAAAUGCCAUAUUACAUUCUGUGAUUUCUUUGAA